rnacentral:rRNA from 1 species
AGGAUGGACCCGAGGAGGAUUAGUUAGUUGGUAAGGUAACGGCUUACCAAGGCGACGAGCAGUAGCCGACCUGAGAGGGUGAUCGGCCACAGUGGAACUGAGACACGGUCCAAACGCCUACGGGAGGCAGCAGUGGGGAAUAUUGCACAAUGGGCGAAAGCCUGAUGCAGCAACGCCGCGUGAGUGAUGAAGGCCUGCGGGUCGUAAAACUCUGUCCUCAAGGAAGAUAAUGACGGUACUUGAGGAGGAAGCCCCGGCUAACUACG